rnacentral:rRNA from 1 species
GACGAACGCUGGCGGCGUGCUUAACACAUGCAAGUCGAACGGAAAGGCCCUGCUUUUGUGGGGUGCUCGAUUGGCGAACGGGUGAGUAACACGUGAGUAACCUGCCCUUGACUUUGGGAUAACUUCAGGAAACUGGGGCUAAUACCGGAUAGGAGCUCCUGCUGCAUGGUGGGGGUUGGAAAGUUUCGGCGGUUGGGGAUGGACUCGCGGCUUAUCAGCUUGUUGGUGUGGUAGUGGCUUACCAAGGCUUUGACGGGUAGCCGGCCUGAGAGGGUGACCGGGCACAUUGGGACUGAGAUACGGCCCAGAAUCCUACGGGAGGCAGCAGGGGAGAAUAUUACACAAUGGGCGGAAGCCUGAUGCAGCAACGCCGCGUGCGGGAUGACGGCCUUCGGGUUGUAAACCGCUUUCGCCUGUGACGAAGCGUGAGUGACGGUAAUGGGUAAAGAAGCACCGGCUAACUACGUG